ACCUACGGGGGGCAGCAGUGAGGAAUAUUGGUCAAUGGGCGCGAGCCUGAACCAGCCAAGUAGCGUGAAGGAUGACUGUCCUACGGGUUGUAAACCUCUUUUAUAAAGGAAUAAAGUGAGGCACGCGUGCCUUUUUGAAAGUAUUCUAUGAAAAAGCAUCGGCUAACUCCGUGCCAGCAGCCGCGGUAAUACGGAGGAUGCGAGCGUUAUCCGGAUUUAUUGGGUUUAAAGGGGGC
rnacentral:rRNA from 1 species